rnacentral:misc_RNA from 1 species
UUGAUACGAUAAUGAUCGGCACUGUAAAAGCCAUUAUAAAUUACAGUUUGAUAAAGCGGAAGUGUUUAUUCCUGCCCAAUGUACUUUUAUGGCCAACGCACUGGCUAAUAUUCCAAGCACCAGUUUUUGACAGUACUCCAAUAGUACUCCAAUAGUACUCCAGGGAAAUAAGCUAGAAAUAGACCAUGUUCGGGACACUCAAAUAUCCAAGCAACGCUGCCAGUUGAACGAGAAUAUUAGAUCAAACCAGCUAAAAGCAGGGCUGUGCGACAGAUCGCAAGUUUUUAGUAUUAAAACUAAAACAAUAUCGAGCAUUAUCAAUUAGUCGCAUGCAUCCUAAAAGAUUCUCCUGUUAAUUUUGUAAUUUUCAUCAUCUCAAAUUCAGUGCAAUCUGUGAUGGCAACAACGAAGUGAUUCACGAACCAUUGUAUCCAGUCUGAAUACAGGUUUACGUUGGGAAAAAAAAGUGUACCAGUUUUAUAUGACGGGAAGUGUACAUGUUUAAGAAUUUGUUUAUUAAACCAGACUAUAUCUCUCGCCUAAGCGAGAGUUAUAGUCUAACGUCGAUUACUUUACAAUGUUAAAUCUAUCAAUAAUGUAAUUUAGAGGUUUUUACACCUAAUGAAGUGGCUAGUGGCAAAUACUUGUACACUGGACGUUCACACUGAUGAUGGUCAGUUUUGACCGAAAACGUUUUGUGUAUUGUAAUUUUUCACUACCUUGUGGAUAAAUUCUAAAGAUUUUUUAAUAAAUUCAUAUACCUACAUAAAA